rnacentral:rRNA from 1 species
CCUACGGGAGACAGCAGUGGGGAAUAUUGGGCAAUGGGCGCAAGCCUGACCCAGCAACGCCGCGUGAAGGAAGAAGGCUUUCGGGUUGUAAACUUCUUUUGUCGGGGAACAAAGGCGGAGACGCGUCUCCGGAUGAGUGUUCCCGAAGAAAAAGCAUCGGCUAACUCCGUGCCAGCAGCCGCGGUAAUACGGGGGAUGCGAGCGUUAUCCGGAUUUAGUGGGUUUAAAGGGUGCGCAGGCGGGAGAUAAAGUCAGCGGUAAAAUGUCGGGGCGCAACCCCGGCCGGCCGUUGAAACUGGUUGUCUAGAGUUGGAGAGAAGUAUGCGGAAUGCGUGGUGUAGCGGUGAAAUGCAUAGAUAUCACGAAGAACACCGAUUGCGAAGGCAGCAUACCGGCUCCAUACUGACGCUGAGGCACGAAAGCGUGGGGAUCGAACAGGAUUAGAUACCCGGGUAGUC